rnacentral:rRNA from 1 species
UACAGAGGUGGCAAGCGUUGUUCGGAAUUACUGGGCGUAAAGGGCGCGUAGGCGGCCCUCUAAGUCAGACGUGAAAUCCCCCGGCUUAACCUGGGAACUGCGUCUGAUACUGGAGGGCUUGAGUAUGGGAGAGGGAUGUAGAAUUCCAGGUGUAGCGGUGAAAUGCGUAGAUAUCUGGAGGAAGACCGGUGGCGAAGGCGGCAUCCUGGACCAUUACUGACGCUGAGGCGCGAAAGCUAGGGGAGCAAACGGG